UACGCAGGGGGCUAGCGUUGUUCGGAUUUACUGGGCGUAAAGCGCACGUAGGCGGAUUGUUAAGUCAGGGGUGAAAUCCUGGAGCUCAACUCCAGAACUGCCUUUGAUACUGGCAAUCUCGAGUCCGGAAGAGGUGAGUGGAACUCCUAGUGUAGAGGUGGAAUUCGUAGAUAUUAGGAAGAACACCAGUGGCGAAGGCGGCUCACUGGUCCGGAACUGACGCUGAGGUGCGAAAGCGUGGGGAGCAAACAGG
rnacentral:rRNA from 1 species